rnacentral:rRNA from 4 species
UUAUCGGAGAGUUUGAUCCUGGCUCAGGACGAACGCUGGCGGCGUGCCUAAUACAUGCAAGUCGAGCGGACAGAUGGGAGCUUGCUCCCUGAUGUU